rnacentral:rRNA from 1 species
UUGGAGGGCAAGUCUGGUGCCAGCAGCCGCGGUAAUUCCAGCUCCAAUAGCGUAUAUUAAAGUUGUUGCAGUUAAAAAGCUCGUAGUUGAAUUUCGGGAUCAAUUUGUCGGUCGUGCCUCGGUACGUACUGGCAUUAUUGGUUUCUACCUUCUGAAGAACCUUGAUGUCAUUAAUUUGGUGUCUUGGGGAAUCAGGACUGUUACUUUGAAAAAAUUAGAGUGUUUAAAGCAGGCAUACGCUUGAAUACAUUAGCAUGGAAUAAUGAAAUAGGACGUUUGAUUCUAUUUUGUUGGUUUCUAGGAUCGACGUAAUGAUUAAUAGGGAUAGUUGGGGGCAUUAGUAUUCAAUUGUCAGAGGUGAAAUUCUUGGAUUUAUUGAAGACUAACUACUGCGAAAGCAUUUGCCAAGGAUGUUUUCAUUAAUCAAGAACGAAAGUUAGGGGAUCGAAGACGAUCAGAUACCGUCGUAGUCUUAACCAUAAACUAUGCCGACUAGGGAUCGGAUGAUGUUAUUUUUAAUGACUCAUUCGGCGCCUUACGGGAAACCAAAGUGUUUGGGUUC